rnacentral:ncRNA from 1 species
GCAACUGGCGGAAGUGGAAUAACCACAGGGAACCGUAUGUGGAUAGGCCGACCGCCUGGGCAUAC